AAUAACUGUAACAUUUUAAACGCAGGGGUUCUGGUGUGAGUGUUGUUAACAAAAGAAGGAUAGCAGAGGACACUAAGGCUCAAUAGUUGAAACCUGCUGCCAAUCACCAUCCACUGCUUCCUUCCAUAAAGUAACAUUGUUAUUUCCAUCCGCCACAGCCAGGAUAUUGCCCGUUAACGACCAUGACACCCUCCAAACAGGGGUUUUAAAGUCCUUUAGAACCUUACCUUCCCAUUGAUCUCCUUCUCUGACUACAGUCCAGAUAACAACUUUCCCGUCUUGAGACGCACUUGCAAUUGUUGAUUUCGGCAGACCAAGAUUAGGAGCCCAUGAAACAUCUCUAACCCAGUCAGUAUGCAUUUGAAGAGCUGGAAAGCAAUCCAUCUUCCAAACCCCAUUAUAGAGCUUCCACACCUUCACUGUAUUGUCGCAACCGCCUGAGCAUAGCUUCUGAACAGGAUCGAGUAAGGCGGAGCCGACAAGGGCACCUGGUGCAGUAGAUGGAGCCCAUGAAACGGACGUAACUCCAACUGGGUGAGCUUGAUCGAUCCUAGAGGUGUCCCAG
rnacentral:misc_RNA from 1 species